rnacentral:rRNA from 1 species
GACGAACCGUGCGAACGUUGUUCGGAAUCACUGGGCUUAAAGGGCGCGUAGGCGGCUGCACCAGUCUCGGGUGAAAUCUUUCGGCUUAACCGGAAACGUGCCUGGGAUACUGUGCAGCUAGAGGGAGAUAGGGGCGGACGGAACUUCCGGUGGAGCGGUGAAAUGCGUUGAUAUCGGAAGGAACGCCGGUGGCGAAAGCGGUCCGCUGGAUCUCUACUGACGCUGAGGCGCGAAAGCCAGGGGAGCAAACGGG